CACCUGCUUCUGGGCCAGAGACAUCAUGUGCUUUUCAUUACCAUCAUUAGUCAUUGUCAGUACAUCUUGUUACAAGAGCAAAGCAUAAAAGAUCAAGACUGCUGGCCCCCCUGUAAUAAUGUAGUGUAUACUGAAGACUUUUAUGUAUUUUGCAUAGGUAUAGGACUGAGUGAAAUGCUUAGACAGUAUCUGAGAUGUUAGUUAUUUUUAGCUGUCCUAGUGUAGUUAUUUAGAAUUAAAACUUUCUUGUUGCUGUCACUGUGUUCUGCUAUCCUGCAGCUGUUCUGCAUCCCCUGUGAAGGCAGAGAGGGGCUGACAGUCACCAUGUUCUCCCAUUUGGUGGGCUGCAGUCAGGAAAAAGUGGAGCCUGCUCUACCUAAUGACCUACAAAACCCUCCCCUGUUCAUGACAAAAUCUAAACCUGUGCUUCAGUACUUCUGGUUGCAUGGCCAAGGAAGGUCCUCUUGGAGCUGUUCUUUUCCAUGUGUUGUGACUGCAUCACCAACAACUCCUCUCAAGAGGCUCUCAGUAUUUCUGGUUUUGAUCACCAGUGGACAGAACAUAUGGAUUCCUUGACUUCUGGCAGUGCUUUGGUUAUGGGGGCCUAUCUCAAGCAGCUCUCACUUUUGGAGUCCUCUGAGGAACUGAGGUUCCAGAACUACACUCCUACAGAAAUGAUGUCCCUUGAGUGCAAGUCAGCCUCCCCAGAACCCUUGGCAGCUCUGCAGAAGCAUCAGAUCUUGUUACGUUACUUUGGCAGUACAGAGGUCUCAAGCCCUUUCAGAAGGGCAAUGAGGGCCUACUGGAUACUAAAGGUGUCUAUCAUCAGAGGAAAGCAGAAGUGACUUUAUACCUAGAAUGUGCAGAGAUCAAACAAGAUGAGUGUUGCAGUAAAACAAUAAAGGCAUGUGUGUGCUUGUGUGUGAAUUCA
rnacentral:lncRNA from 1 species